rnacentral:rRNA from 1 species
GAUGAACGCUGGCGGCGUGCCUAAUACAUGCAAGUCGAGCGAACGGACGAGAAGCUUGCUUCUCUGAUGUUAGCGGCGGACGGGUGAGUAACACGUGGAUAACCUACCUAUAAGACUGGGAUAACUUCGGAAAACCGGAGCUAAUACCGGAUAAUAUUUUGAACCGCAUGGUUCAAAAGUGAAAGACGGUCUUGCUGUCACUUAUAGAUGGAUCCGCGCUGCAUUAGCUAGUUGGUAAGGUAACGGCUUACCAAGGCAACGAUGCAUAGCCGACCUGAGAGGGUGAUCGGCCACACUGGAACUGAGACACGGUCCAGACUCCUACGGGAGGCAGCAGUAGGGAAUCUUCCGCAAUGGGCGCAAGCCUGACGGAGCAACGCCGCGUGAGUGAUGAAGGUCUUCGGAUCGUAAAACUCUGUUAUUAGGGAAGAACAUAUGUGUAAGUAACUGUGCACAUCUUGACGGUACCUAAUCAGAAAGCCACGGCUAACUACGUG